rnacentral:tRNA from 1 species
GUGGCUGUAGCUCAGUGGUUAGAGCAUUCGCUUGUGGAGCGAGGGGUCGCCGGUCCGAAUCCGGUCAGCCACC